UGAUGGUUCAGUCAGUAAAGCAUGCGACUCUUAAUCUCAGGGUCCUGAGUUUCAGCCCCAUGUUGCACAA